AUACGAAGGGGGCUAGCGUUGUUCGGAAUUACUGGGCGUAAAGCGCACGUAGGCGGACUGGAAAGUUGGGGGUGAAAUCCCGGGGCUCAACCCCGGAACUGCCUCCAAAACUUCCAAUCUAGAGAUCGAGAGAGGUAAGUGGAAUUCCUAGUGUAGAGGUGAAAUUCGUAGAUAUUAGGAGGAACACCAGUGGCGAAGGCGGCUUACUGGCUCGAUACUGACGCUGAGGUGCGAAAGCGUGGGGAGCAAACAGGAUUAGAAACCCCAGUAGUCC
rnacentral:rRNA from 1 species